UACGUAGGGGGCAGGCGUUGUCCGGAUUUAUUGGGCGUAAAGAGCGUGUAGGCGGCCAUACAGGUCAGCUGUGAAAACUCGAGGCUCAACCUCGAGACGUCGGUUGAAACCGUGUGGCUAGAGUCCGGAAGAGGAGAGUGGAAUUCCCGGUGUAGCGGUGAAAUGCGCAGAUAUCGGGAAGAACACCCGUGGCGAAGGCGGCUCUCUGGGACGGUACUGACGCUGAGACGCGAAAGCGUGGGGAGCGAACAGG
rnacentral:rRNA from 1 species